CCUCAGGAUAUUUAAUCUAAGGUUAAACCUGCCCAAUGUAAGUUUUAUGAAUGGCCGCGGUACUUUGACCGUGCUAAGGUAGCGCAAUCAAUUGGCUUUUAAUUGAAGCCAUGUAUGAAUGGAAUCACGGAGUCUAGCUGUCUCUUAACUACUUCAUUGAAAUUACUAUUUAGGUGAAAAAGCCUAAAUGAAGAAAAAAGACGAGAAGACCCUUAGAGUUUUUCUAAAGUUAAGGUUAUCCUUAAAACAGUUUAGUUGGGGCAACUUAGGAACAGUAUAAAUUAACCUCCUAUAAAAUAUUUACCGAUUUUAAUAAAUGAAAAUAAACUACCUUAGGGAUAACAGCAUAAUUUUAUAGAUAAGUUUGUGACCUCGAUGUUGGACUAGGAAACUGAGGGGCUAGCCGCCCCUUAGGAAAGUUCUGUUCGAACUAAUAUUCCU
rnacentral:rRNA from 1 species